AGACCCGAAACCCGGUGAUCUAGCCAUGGGCAGGUUGAAGGUUGGGUAACACUAACUGGAGGACCGAACCGACUAAUGUUGAAAAAUUAGCGGAUGACCUGUGGCUGGGGGUGAAAGGCCAAUCAAACCGGGAGAUAGCUGGUUCUCCCCGAAAGCUAUUUAGGUAGCGCCUCGUGAAUUCAUCUCCGGGGGUAGAGCACUGUUUCGGCUAGGGGGCCAUCCCGGCUUACCAACCCGAUGCAAACUGCGAAUACCGGAGAAUGUUAUCACGGGAGACACACGGCGGGUGCUAACGUCCGUCGUGAAGAGGGAAACAACCCAGACCGCCAGCUAAGGUCCCAAAGUCAUGGUUAAGUGGGAAACGAUGUGGGAAGGCCCAGACAGCCAGGAUGUUGGCUUAGAAGCAGCCAUCAUUUAAAGAAAGCGUAAUAGCUCACUGGUCGAGUCGGCCUGCGCGGAAGAUGUAACGGGGCUAAACCAUGCACCGAAGCUGCGGCAGCGAACGUAUCACCCAAGACAACUUUACGGAGUUGACGAUUGACGGAGCGAAGCGACGUCAAAGCGUUCAUUAAAGUCGAGUUGGCUUAGGGAUACGUUCGUUGGGUAGGGGAGCGUUCUGUAAGCCUGUGAAGGUGUGUCGUGAGGCAUGCUGGAGG
rnacentral:rRNA from 1 species